UAUAUAUAAAAUUUCUUUUCAUUACGAUUUAUACAGAUUCUAUAAUAAUCGUAUAAAUGUAUAGUUUAGUCAACAAUAUAUAAAUUUGAGAAAUAAUGGAAAUAAUAUAUAAAGUUAUUUAUAGGGUAUAAAUAAAUGACAUGAAUUCCAAUGAUAUAUAUCCUUAUAUUUAAAACUAUAUACAUCAAUUACGAAUACUCAUAAACAUACAUUGUAAAGAGUUAUACCAGAUGAAUUUAUCUUUUAUGCAUAUAAAAAUUAUAUAAGAAUGUAAUAAAUGAGAUACAAGAAUAUAAUAUAAUCAUAUUGCAUAUAUUGCUGCCUAGUAGAAAAUAAAUUAUAAAUCAAUGCAUUUAAUAGUGUACCAAAAAUGCUAAAUGUGUACUAUAUUGUAACGAUACUUUUAAUAUGUAAAUUGUAUUUAAGUAAUUUUAGAUUUGUUUUGCAAGCAACUUAAAAUAUAAUCGAUUGUAGUAUGGAUCCAAUCCUGUAAAAGCAAAACUAUAUUAUUUAAAUGAAUAUUAUAACUUAAAAUUACACACGAUUAUUUCAAUUACCCUUGUAUACGUUGCACAAAAAUUUAAGUCAAAUAAUUAAAACAUUGAGUACUUACUUAGGCUUGUAUCCAUAUUUUUAUUUGACAUUGUAUUUAAUUUUUUCUUUAUAUUUAAAGAUUUCUUGUGUUCUUCAAAAGUUAUAGCAAAUUUAAUCAUUCAUACUACAUUAUACUAUUGCACACUGAAAAUUGCUAUAUAUUAAGCACAAGUGCACAAUAUAAGCACUUUGACGAUUAAAUAAGUAACGAUAUUGGGUAUGUACAACUUCGUCAGAAUGUUUAUAUUAUGUCUGUAUAUUAAAAUAUAGUAGUUUUCAGUAUGCACUAGUGCAAUGUAACAUAGGUGACCAAAUUCACUGAAUAUUAAGUUCCACAUAUUUCAUUAUGCGUACGUGUCAAGUGUGUAUAUUCCUCGGAGAAUGUAUAUAUAAAAAUAUUGUUUAGAAUAAUUCUAUCCUUUAAAUUGCACCUUUUUACAGCAAUUAUACAAGGAUGAUCAAAAUCAAAAUUAAUGUUUGUUAAUAUUGAAUUUGCUUAUAUGUAAAUAUUAUGCGACUAAACUAUUGCAAAAUGAAAUAAUCUUGAUUCUUUCUUCUGAAAACCUAUUGUAGAGAUUUCUCUUAUUAAUGAGAUAUUAUUGAUUUAAGUCUAAUUCUAACAAUUGGUUGUCAGUUUUAAAGAAGUAUUUUUGUAUCCUAGACAUCCCAGGAAAAUCAUAACAAACUGAGCAACGAAGAUUCAUUGCUCAAUUUGCUAUGAUUUUCUUGGGCGCAUGGAUACGACUAUGUCUCAACAACGAGCUCUUAUCAGUGAAAGACUUCUCGCACUCGACACACUUGUACGUUCUGCCAGUGUGCGUGACCAAGUGUCUGCUAAGACCUGAUGCGUGACAAAACGCCUUUGGACAGAGCUGACAAUGAUGCAAUUGGAUAUCAUUCGGAUUCAGUUUCUGAUGUCGGCGCAUGUGCACCUUAAGAGCCUCCCGCUGCGUGAAGCUCUUCUCGCAAUGUUGACACUGGAAGGGUUUCUGACCAGAAUGUGUCAUCAAAUGACGGAAUAGGAUCUCCUUCUGCGCGAAAGCACGAUGACAGAUGUUGCAGCCAAAUGGUUUCUCGCCUGCAAGCAGAAAUAGAAAUAACGCGCAUAUGCGUUUCUAUAGUAGCCUCAACAGAUAAUGCAUUCUCAUGUUUUUUACCUAUGGUAUCUUCCAUAGGCUGCAGUUUCAAUGACUCCCCUUGAGUGGAACUGUUGCUGAUUUGCCAGUGGUGGACUCCUUUGAAUCAUCCUUGUUGCUAUCCUGGCUUUCGCCUUCUUUGUCUCCAGUCAACUGCUGUAUCAACUUCAUAUGUUUUCUGAGUUUGGCAUCUGCAGCUUGACAUUUUUUUCUAAAUUGAUCGGCAUGUGGAAUUCCUCCGGACAUCCUCCGCUUUCUAUCAAGAGAUCGUCAUUCAUCGAGGAAACGCGAGCAUCAAACGAGACCGAUCAAAAAGAAGUAUUCGCAAUUAUCAUCCCUCGAAGGAAUCGCAUCGCGAUUAAUGUCUGUUUACGUCCAGCAGCGGACGCACCACCGCGUUAUUUGUAUCCGAUGUACUAAUAUUACAGAUUUCUAUAAAUCCGUAGGGUAAAACGCGAUCGCAGACGCGAGUCUAGGUCUCUGCAAUGAGACGGCGCGAGGCCGUAAAAGACGUACCCUAUCGUGGCAGCUCGUCGAUAACUCGGUAAAGCCGGUAGUUGCUUCGCGCAACGUCGUAUCACCGACAUAUUUACGUCUCUCUCUUUCUCCUGUGUAAAUGUGAAUGUGUUAAGUAUACAGGGUGUCCUAAAAGUCCUGCAACAGUUAAAUAACUCGAAACCAAAGACUUUCUCAGAUAAAUGCUUCGACAAAAGUUGUAGGGCUUUAAGGGCAUAUUAAGUAAUAAUAGUGUGAUUACAAAUAGCAUUGUUAAGGCCAGGUAAAAUUCACUUUGAAAUUUUUUAAUGGAAAUCCGUAUUUUUCAUUACGUAUUCAUGUAGCUUAUCUUAAGAGCUUUUUAUUGUGUUAAGUAUUUUUAGAGUUAUGAGGCCUCAAAAAAAAAAGAUAGUAUAUUUUUUAAAAUAAAAUUAAAAUAUCUUAUAAAAUUCAGUUUUCGAUAAUCCUAUCUUGUUAGUACUUUUAUGUAUGAAAUAAUUAGAAAUAAUUGGUGUAAAGAAAACGCAUAAUUGUU